AAGAACCAGACAGUGGAUGCACUUAUCUGAUAAGCUAUUAGACCAGGUAACACUUCCAAAUGAAAUAUAAAAAAACAUAGGUUUUAGUCUAUUGAUUAUAAACUUUUUUUUUUUAAAUAUAAUCACAUGUGGCAGUAGUGUUUUUCUACAGCAGCCCAUGGACUGACUUGACUCAUUCAAUCAGUUCUUUGGCAACACCUGGCAGCUAGUUUCAGAUCCCACAGAGCAAACACACAGACAAAGGAAGCAGAUGGAUGAUGGCGACAAAAAUUAUCACCGUGUAUACAACACAUUAGACAUCUACACAGGGGCAUGUCUGAACUACAGCGCUUCCUGACCGUCCGCUCAGGACAUCUGUGCAGUGUGUCUGGCUUUGGUUUCCAAAUAUUGUUGUGUGGACCACCUGCAAAACAACGCUGAUAGCAGAGAUAAGUGAUGUGUGGCGUGCUCUUGUGGACCUGAGGAUUUCUGCCCAUGUUUUGGACGCACUUAAACUGCAGGAGUCAACAGCAGCUGAGAAGUACUCAACCCUGUGUCUGUGAGAUAGAGGGAGGUGGGCAGGUGAGCUGUGAAGUUCCUCUGGAAGUUGCAGGGACGGUGGUACGUUUA